rnacentral:rRNA from 1 species
GACGAACGCUGGCGGCGUGCUUAACACAUGCAAGUCGAACGGUAAGGCCCUUCGGGGUACACGAGUGGCGAACGGGUGAGUAACACGUGGGUGAUCUGCCCUGCACUUCGGGAUAAGCCUGGGAAACUGGGUCUAAUACCGGAUAGGACCACUGCCUGCAUGGGUGGUGGUGGAAAGCUUUUGCGGGGUGGGAUGGGCCCGCGGCCUAUCAGCUUGCUGGUGGGGUGAUGGCCUACCAAGGCGACGACGGGUAGCCGGCCUGAGCGGGUGACCGGCCAAACUGGGGCUGAGAGACGGCCCAGACUCCUACGGGAGGCAGCAGUGGGGAAUAUUGCACAAUGGGCGCAAGCCUGAUGCAGCGAGGCAGCGUGAGGGAUGACGGCCUUCGGGUUGUAACCCUCUUUCAGCACCGACGAAGCGCAAGUGACGGUAGGUGCAGAAGAAGGACCGGCCAACUACGUGCCAGCAGCCGCCGUAA